GUCUACAUUACAAAAUUUUCUGAAAGUUGGAAUUACCAGUGGUGUUCAAGUAGCAGCUAUAUACAGUAUGAUUACAUCCCUGUUCCUGCCAGUCAAUAUACGAACAGUGUACACAUGGCCAGCCUGGAUUAAAACAUCACAGAUUUUCAAAGCAACCAUAGCCAGGUGAGAUAUUUCUAGAGAAAUAUUAAUUCAAGGUCCUUAAGAUUGCAUAUAGGGAUUGAUUUUUAUUGUAAACAAUACCUUACUGAAUGUAUUUUUCUUGUGUACUAAUUGUUGUAGAACACAGAGACCACUAUUAUGACAGAGAUAUUAAUGUGUGAAAA